rnacentral:rRNA from 1 species
GAUCCUGGCUCAGGAUGAACGCUGGCGGCGUGCUUAACACAUGCAAGUCGAGCGAAGCACUUUGCUUUGAUUUCUUCGGGAUGAAGAGCUUAGUGACUGAGCGGGCGGACGGGUGAGGUAGCGCGUGGGUAACCUGCCUCAUACAGGGGGAUAACAGUUAGAAAUGACUGCUAAUACCGCAUAAGGCCACAGCACCGCAUGGUGCGAAGGGUAAAACUCCGGUGGUAUGAGAGUCGG